rnacentral:rRNA from 1 species
UACGUAGGGGGCAAGCGUUAUCCGGAUUUACUGGGUGUAAAGGGAGCGUAGACGGCGAUGCAAGCCAGAUGUGAAAGCCCGGGGCUCAACCCCGGGACUGCAUUUGGAACUGUGUGGCUGGAGUGUCGGAGAGGCAGGCGGAAUUCCUAGUGUAGCGGUGAAAUGCGUAGAUAUUAGGGGGAACACCAGUGGCGAAGGCGGCCUGCUGGACGAUGACUGACGUUGAGGCUCGAAAGCGUGGGGAGCAAACAGG